rnacentral:lncRNA from 1 species
AAUGAAUGAAAACAAGACAUAGAAACUAGAAAUGAAGACUUUGACUAAAGACUGGUCAAGGUGCGGAUUCUUGUGUUGACUGGUCCAGAUUCACAAAGAUGUCCAAGUUCAUUAUGUGGUGAUCAGGUCAUCCGCGGUAAGGAGCAGGACGGAUGUAAGGCUGACCGCAUGAUUGAUCGUCGAUGAUCCAUGAACGGAUGAAGAGAUAGCUCGACCCAAAUCUUCAGAGAGCUUAAGUAUCCUUCCUCUGGAGUAGUUGGAAGCAUCGAUCAUCAUGAAAUCAUCAAAGUGGUUGGAAAGGUCGUGAUCAGCCUGAUCCGGGCGUGCGGUACGUCCCAAACGGGCAAGGAAAGAUAGGCUAAGUCCGGAAUCUGAUUCUUCUCGAGGAUCAUGGGUUCUGGCUUGACUGUUGGCUCUAGAAUGGCGAAUGGGUCGGGGAAGAACGCCUGUGGUUUGGCUCGGUCAUCAGGUCGUGGAUCCAUCCUUAGGUCACGUCCGGGUGCACGCGGGUCGAUCCGGUACACGGCUCUGUCCGUUGAUCUGGUACGGCUGAAUGGCUGAACCUCAGUUGGACUGAUCUGAUCGUCCUGGUCACCAUGCUGAGUCUGCUCCACGUCCUGGUCCAGGUCCUGGGUUCUAUCAUUCCCUCCCUCUUCAAAAGGAUUUGACCACAAAUCCGGAUCAUCUGCGCAAAAAGGAGAUAAAUCAGAAACAUUAAAACUUGAAGAGAUAUCAUACUUACCCUGAAGAUCAAGCUGGUAAGCAUUGUCAUGGAGUUUCCUGAGAAUCUGGAAUGGACCAUCGACCCGGGGCAUGAGUUUGAACUUCCUUUGUUCCGGGAAUCGUUCCUUCCUCAUGUGGACCCAAACAAGAUCACCUUCCUGGAAGAUCACUUCUUUCCUUUUCUUGUCUGCAAGUCGUUUGUAGCCCUCGGUCUUGGCUUCAAUGUUGGCACGGACCUGUUCAUGCAGCUUCUUGAUCGUGUCCACCUUCCUCUUGCCAUCUGUAUUAACUCGUUCACUCAAAGGCAAAGGUAAAAGAUCAAGUGGAGACAAGGGAUUAAAUCCAUAAACAACCUCAAAAGGAGAAAACUUAGUAGCUGAAUGCAAAGCAUGGUUAUAAGCAAAUUUAACAUGAGGCAAACAUUCUUCCCAAGUCCUAAGAUUCUUUUUAACCAAAGAUCUAAGCAAAGCAGACAAGGUUCGGUUAACUACUUCAGUUUGCCCAUCAGUUUGCGGAUGAUAAGUUGUAGAGAACAUUAAUCUAGUACCUAGCUUAGACCACAAGGUCUUCCAAAAAUAGGUAAGGAACUUAGCAUCACGAUAAGAGACAAUGGUCUUAGGCAUUCCAUGCAAUCUAACAACUUUCUUAAAGAAUAAAUCUGCAACUUGCACAGCAUCAUCAGUUUUGUGACAAGGAAUGAAAUGAGCAAUUUUCGAGAACCUAUCAACAACCACAAAGAUAGAAUCUCGUCCAGCUUUAGACCUAGGCAAUCCAAGCACAAAAUCCAUAGAAAUGUCUACCCAAGGAUGAGAGGGAAUGGGUAGAGCUGAGUACAAACCGCGGUGUGAUGCUUUAGGCUUAGACUUCUUGCACACCACACAUCGGCUACAGAUCCUCUCAACAUCUUUCAUCAGGCUCGGCCAGUAGAAAUGGUCAUGAACCGCCUUGUAAGUCUUCUUGACACCAAAGUGUCCCAUAAGCCCACCUCCAUGAGCUUCCCUGAGAAACAACUCCCUCAAAGAACAUUGGGGCACACACAAACGGUUAUCAAAGAAUAAGAAACCAGAAUUUUGAAAGUAUUUGCCAUAAGCAACCUUUGAGCAUUUUUAAAAAAUCUCUUUAAAAUCCUGAUCAGAAGCAUAAAGAUCCUUGAUAAAUUCAAAGCCAAGCAAUUUAGUUUCAAGGACUGAGAGAAGAGUAUACCUUCGAGACAAUGCAUCAGCCACAACAUUCUCCUUACCUUGUUUGUACUUGAUCACAUAAGGGAAUGUCUCAAUGAACUCCAUCCAACGAGCAUGCCUCUUGUUGAGCUUCUGCUGACCCUUAAGGUGUCUUAGAGACUGAUUAUCAGUGUGGAUGAUGAACUCCUUAGGCCAAAGAUAGUGCUGCCAUGUUUGAAGGGCCCUCACCAAGGCAUAGAGUUCUUGGUCGUAUGUGUGGUAGUUGAGCAAGGCUCCUCCAAGCUUCUCACUGAAAUAAGCCACUGAUUUUCCAUCCUGCAUCAACACAGCACCAAUACCAACACCAGAAGCAUCACAUUCGAUUUCAAAAGCUUUAGAAAAAUCUGGAAGUACAAGUAAAGGGGCGUGAGUCAACUUCCCUUUAAGGAUUUCGAAUGCUUCUUCCUGAGCUGGUCCCCAUUUGAACCCCACGUUCUUCUUGAUUACUUCAGUAAGAGGAGUGGCCAAGGUACUGAAGUUUUGAACAAAUCGCCUAUAGAAGCCGGCAAGGCCAUGGAAGCUUCUUACUUCACCAAUGGUGGUCGGAAUGGGCCAGUCUUGUAUUGCUUGGACCUUCUGUUCGUCCACUCUCAAGCCAUCUGCACCUACAACAAAACCUUAGAAAGACCACAUGAUCUGUGCCAAAAGAACACUUUCCUUUCUAAGGACUUCACGAACAGAUUUCAAAUACUGUUUGUGCUCAUCAAGGCUUUUGCUGUAAAUAAAAAUGUCAUCAAAGUAAACCACAACAAAAUGACCAAUAAAAGACCUCAAGACAUGAUUCAUUAGGCGCAUGAAAGUACUAGGUGCAUUAGUGAGACCAAAGGGCAUGACAAGCCACUCAUACAAACCUAGUUUUGUUUUAAAGGCCGUUUUCCAUUCAUCACCUUCUUUCAUCCUAAUCUGAUGAUAGCCACUUCUCAAAUCUAUCUUAGAAAAGUACUUAGAACCAUGGAGUUCAUCAAGCAUAUCAUCAAGACGAGAGAUAGGAUGUCGAUACUUUACCGUGAUGUUGUUUAUGGCCCGGCAGUCCACACACAUCCUCCAGGAGCCAUCCUUCUUUGGUACAAGUAGAACAGGCACGGCACAGGGACUGAGACUCUCUCUGAUGUAUCCCUUCUCAAGCAAGUCAUUGAUCUGUUCUCCAGCUCCUUGGUCUCGACCGGAUUGGUGUGGUACGCUGGUCGGUUCGGUAGAGAGGCGCCCGGGAUGAGAUCGAUCUGAUGCUCAAUGCCUCUCACCGGUGGCAAUCCUUUGGGAUUUUCUUCUGGAAACACAUCAGAAUAAUCCUGCAAGAUACCUAAAAAUUCACUCGGAAUCUCUGGUAAGGUCAGAGGAAGAUGAGGCCAAAAGAGACUCUUUAUAAAUCAGUAAGAGAAAUGGCUUUUGAAAGCAAAGAGACUUCCUUACCUGACUUUCUUUGAUAAAGAAGUUGGAGUUUUUGGUACUGGUCUCAGGUUUAUCAGCUUUAGAGUCUUGGUCUUGGUUCUUCUUAAGUUGGACCUGGUCUUGAUGUACUUCCGAAGGCGACAAAGGCACCAAGGUGAUCUUCUUUCCCUUAUGAUCAAAUGAAUGCCGGUUUGUGAAACCAUCAUGCACUGCCUUCUUGUCAAAUUGCCAAGGCCGGCCCAAGAGAACAUGGCAAGCAUCCAUGGGAAGCACAUUGCACACAACCUCAUCCUCAUAUCGGCCAAUGGAGAGUGGAACCGUGACUUGCUCCUUCACAUACUGUUCUCCGGCCUCAUUGAGCCACUCCAACCUGAAAGGACGAGAAAGAGGCCGAGUAACAAGCCCAAGUUUCUUUACAAGGGUGUCACUAGCCACAUUAGUGCAACUACCUCCAUCAAUGAUUAAAGAACAAACUUUAUCAGAAAUGAGACAUCUAGAGUGAAAGAGAUUCUCCCUUUGUUCUUUGUCAUUGGAUUUUGGUUGGACACUCAAGGCACGCCUAGUAACCAGUAGUGAACCAUGGCUCGGCUCAUCAAGAACAUCCUCAUCAUAGAUCGGAUCAGAACUCUCCACAAAGGUCGAGCAAAACUCAUCGAUCACUCCAUCGACCUCCUCAUCAAAGAUGGGAUCAGUGGUGUCGUCCAAGACCCUCCUAGUAACAAGAAGGGGACCAUGAACCGGGAAGUCAAGUGCUUCUUCCUCAUCAUCAUCAUCAUCAUACACUGGUCCGAGAUCCUCCUUGUCUUCUUCAGAUUCGACUUCUCCAUUCUCCAAGAGCACCAUCACCUUUUGGUUUGGACAUCGGUUGGCAUAGUGGCCAAGGCCAUGACACCUAAAGCAUUGGAUGUCUCUGGUUCGUUUGGUAGGCUCUUCUUUCUUUUCUCUAUCAACACGAGCAGGGAUAUUAGUCUUAAAAGCUGUAUUUGUUGUGGAAGAAGACUUACCCUUCUCUUGAUAGUUUGGCUUGGAAGCAAAGGUCGGUUUAGAAGCAAAGGUCGGUUUAGUGAGACCCUUUCUCUUGACUUGUUGCUCGAUCAGCACAGCCUUGUGUAGCAUCUGCUCCAUGCUGUCAUAGUCUUCCAGCUCCAUCCGGUCUUGUAUGUCCCGGUUGAGCCCGGUAAGAAAUCUGGCCAUGGUGGCGUCUAAGGGCUCUUCUACAUCAGCUUUGAUCAUCAAGGUCUCCAUCUCCUGGUGAUAGUCCUCAACUGAAUUAGAACCUUGAAGCAAACGCCUGAGUUUACGGUGUAGAUCUUGGUGGUUGUUGGGGUCAAAAACGGUUACGACAAAUUUAACAUUCAAAACGUCCGAGGAGGAAAAUAAGAAUUUCUCCGAAGAGUAUUUUUCGAAAUAGACUCUUUCUUACGAAAAAGCUUUACGGAAGAAAGAAUCGAGAUGUCCGACGAAAAGCUCGAAACAGGUCGCUACGUAGCGACCAAGCGAUCGUCGAGCUCGGUCGCUACGUAGCAACCGAGCUCGAACCAAAGCUCGGUCGCUACGUAGCGACCGAGCGAUCAUCCCGCUCGGUCGCUACGUAGCGACCGAGCUCAGCCAAGCUCGGUCGCUACGUAGCGACCGAGCGAUCGUCCCUCUCGGUCGCUACGUAGCGACCGAGCUCGAGCCAAAGCUCGGUCGCUACGUAGCGACCGAGCUCGAGCCAAAGCUCGGUCGCUACGUAGCGACCGAGCGAUCGUCCCGCUCGGUCGCUACGUAGCGACCAAGCUCAGCCAAGCUCGAUCGCUACAUAGCGACCGAGCGAUCGUCCCACUCGGUCGCUACGUAGCGACCGAGCGAUCGUCCCGCUCGGUCGCUACGUAGCGACCAAGCUCAGCCAAGCUCGGUCGCUACGUAGCGACCGAGCGAUCGUCCCCUCGGUCGCUACGUAGCGACCGAGCUCGAGCCAAAGCUCGGUCGCUACAUAGCGACCGAGCUCGAGCCAGCUCGGUCGCUACGUAGCGACCGAGCGAUCGUCCCGCUCGGUCGCUACGUAGCGACCGAGCGAUCGUCCCGCUCGGUCGCUACGUAGCGACCAAGCUCAGCCAAGCUCGGUCGCUACGUAGCGACCGAGCGAUCGUCCCGCUCGGUCGCUACGUAGCGACCGAGCGAUCGUCCCGCUCGGUCGCUACGUAGCGACCAAGCUCAGCCAAGCUCGGUCGCUACGUAGCGACCGUGCGAUCGUCCCGCUCGGUCGCUAUGUAGCGACCGAGCUCAAGCCAAAGCUCGGUCGCUACGUAGCAACCGAGCACUCAUCUCACUCGGUCGCUACGUAGCGACCGGGCUCGAGCCAAAUUUCGGUCGCUGUGUAGCGAUUGAACCUUUCCGAACAUCGAUACGACACCAGUCCAUGCAUUCUCAUCAAACCUUCGAAUGCUAUCUCCCGAAGACCGUAGCAAGCUCAGUCCAUGUUUUCCGCUAUUCUAAUUCAUCGAUCAAACUUCGCGGAUUAGAAACUGCGGAAAACUCGUAGUAAACGUGUCGAGUCGGAAGACGGCCCAAAGGGACCUAAAACACGAUUCGAAGCCCAUCCUACGAUUUUCCUAACCAAAAGCCCGUAAACCACAGCAUGGUUUACGCUUGGCCCACAAGGAAGGAUAAAUGUCAAGUUUCCGCGGAUAAAUACGGAAGUUUUGAAGAUAAUUAUGAAGAUCGGGAAAAAUGGAAUAUCUCCAUUUUUAUGCUAUGACGGCUUAAGGGCAGAAGAGUAAAAGCGUAAACCGACCUUGGAGCUAGUAUAUAAGGAGUCCUAGGCGAAGAGCAGAGGGGAGAACUUUUUCAGAGAAAACUUAGCACUUAGAGCAAUUUAGGCAAUUUUCCGUUUUUGUUAUUUCGAGCUGCGACUCAAUUAGGUUUAGCCGUCUUAGGGUUGCUAGAACUAGGAAUCUCGCCGACAGCUCUCGAGCCCAGGCUUAUACCUUGUUGUAACGCUCAUACGCAGAUUCGGAAUAAGAUCUACUUUGCUCUCUUUUCGAUUUCUUAUUUUUAUCGUUGUUAUUCUCGUGUUCUGAUUGCUUGACGUGUGGUAAUUAACAGAUAUCCGGGUCCUCUGGGAAACUAGGGUUUUCUUAGUUUCCUUAUUUAAACGGAAAUCGACAGUGUGAAUUUCGGUUCCCACAGUUUGGCGCUAGAAGGAGGGGGACUUACGGAUCAAUCUAACCCGCAAAAGCCACUCAACGAUCAGGAACGAUAUGCGAGAUUCGACGUGCGCGAACGUCAUCUCAUUCAAGGGGGGAGAAACGAUCUAUCGAGCCAAACCUCGAAACGAUCUCCUUGUUAUCGAGUUGACGAUUCGAGAUAUCGACGUCGCUAGAGUACUAAUCGAUACCGGAAGCUCGGCCGAUAUCAUCUUCAAAGACACUCUUGAAAAGAUGGGGAUCAGUCAAUCCGAGUUCGCGAAAUACCCAAGCCCACUGCUAGGACUUUCGGGGGAAACGACCAUGGCCUAUGGAUCGAUUAGACUCGCUGUCAAAGCCGGAACCGUGACGAACAUCACAGAGUUUCUAGUCGUUGACCGCCCCGCAUCUUACAACGUUAUCAUGGGGACGCCAUGGCUGAACACCAUGCGCGCAAUCCCAUCAACCUACCAUCUUUGUCUCAAGUUCCCGACCCCUAACGGAGUCGAGGUAAUCUGGGGAAAUCCAAGAGUUUCGCAGGUUUGUUUCGCCGCGGAACUAAAACGAAAGAGACCGAUCCUCGAAAUUACUCCUAAGAAAGCGGAGAAAAAACCUCCAGCAAAGAUACGCGAAGUCAGGAUUCAGCGGAAUUCUUCUGGCAAUCUCGUAUCAUCGCAGCUCUAGAUGAAAAACGCGAGCCAACAUGUGAACCCGUGGUAACGAUCUGUCUCGACGAAGCCUUCCCAGAACGCUGCGUCGAGGUUGGAGCCAAUCUCCACGAGCCUUUAAGGACAGAACUCAUAACCUGUCUUAAAAAGAACCUUAAUACUUUCGCAUGGGCUGCGGAAGAUAUGCCAGGAAUCGACAUUAACAUAACAUGUCACGAGCUGAAUAUCGACCCAACGUUCAAACCCGUCAAACAGAAAAGACGGAAGCUGGGACCCGAACGUGCUGCCGCAGUAAACGAUGAGGUCGAAAAAUUGCUUAAAGUUGGGUCGAUAACGGAAGUAAGAUACCCGGACUGGCUCGCCAACCCCGUAGUAGUCAAAAAGAAAAACGGGAAGUGGCGAGUUUGCGUAGAUUUUACCGACCUAAACAAGGCAUGUCCAAAGGAUAGCUUCCCUCUACCACAUAUCGAUCGAUUGGUAGAAGCAACAGCGGGCAACGAACUCUUAUCCUUCAUGGAUGCCUUCUCAGGUUAUAAUCAAAUUAGGAUGAAUCCCGACGAUCGUGAGAAGACUGCGUUCAUUACUGAUCGCGGAACUUAUUGCUAUAAGGUAAUGCCCUUCGGCCUCAAAAACGCUGGAGCAACUUACCAACGACUCGUGAACCGAAUGUUCUCCAAACAACUCAGAAAAACGAUGGAAGUUUAUAUCGACGACAUGCUCAUCAAAUCCCUCAAAGCAAGAGAUCACGUGUCACAUCUCGAAGAAUGCUUUGCACAACUAAACUCCCACAACAUGAAGCUCAACCCGACGAAAUGUAGAUUCGCCGUGGCAUCCAAAACAGAUCAACGCACUAAUCGAGAUGGCUUCACCAAAGAACAAGCGGGAGGUCCAAAGACUGACCGACAGAAUCGCAGCACUUAACCGAUUUAUUUCACGAUCAACAGAUAAGUGCCUGCCCUUCUACGACGUCCUGCGAGGAAAUAAAAAAUUUGAAUGGUCGGAAGAGUGCGAAAACGCCUUCCAACAGCUGAAGCGUUAUUUAGCUACUCCUCCAGUCCUCGCAAAACCCGUGGAAGGGGAGCCUUUAUUCUUGUACAUCACGGUGUCGGCAACGGCCGUAAGCGGAGUCCUGAUCAGGGAAGAACGCGGAGAGCAGAAACCUAUUUUCUACAUAAGCAAAAUCUUGCUGGAUGCCGAAUCUAGAUAUCCGUUGAUGGAAAAAUUGGCAUGCGCGGUCGUAACAUCGGCCCGAAAACUAAGACCAUAUUUCCAAUCCCACACGAUUGUCAUCCUCACGACUUUUCCCUUACGGACAAUUUUGCAUAGCCCAAGUCAAUCAGGACGAUUGGCUAAGUGGGUGGUCGAGUUGAGCGAGUAUGACAUCGAAUACCGACCAAGGACGAGCGCAAAAUCACAAGUGCUCGCAGACUUCCUGGUCGAACUUCCAACGGGAGCAAUAACCAAUGAGGAACCAAAUUCCACCUGGCUCCUCCACGUUGACGGAUCCUCAUCCAAGCAAGGAUCGGGUAUCGGGAUCCGUCUCACAUCUCCAACGAGCGAGAUCUUGGAACAAUCGUUCAGGCUGGAAUUCCAUGCCUCAAACAACGAGGCCGAAUACGAAGCGUUAAUCGCAGGUCUACGUUUCGCUCAUGGCUUAAAAAUACGCAAUCUCCACGCCUACUGCGACUCCCAGUUAGUGGCCAGUCAAUUCAGCGGAGAGUAUGAAGCCAGAGACGAACGGAUGGACGCGUACCUCAAACUGGUCCAGGGUCUAGCUCAAGACUUCGACUGCUUCGCCCUUACCCGGAUCCCCCGUUCCGAGAAUGUCCAGGCGGACGCCCUCGCGGCCUUAGCAUCAAGUUCCGAUCCAGGACUCAAAAGGGUAAUUCCGGUCGAAUUCAUCGAACAUCCGAGUAUCGGACCACCAGUCGUUGUCAAUCUCAUAGAGGGUCAAGACGACGAGGAAGAAGAAAUUACGGUACCACCACCAUCAGAGCAAUCUGAUUACGGCUGUGAUACCCCAUGGCUUCAGGCGAUUCGAGACUACAUUAUCGACGGGCAACUGCCCGCCGAAAAAUGGGCAGCUCGCAAGAUCCGAACACAGGCCGCACGCUACGUGACAGUGGACGGCGAAAUCUACAAAUGGAGAUUCUCCGGACCACUCCUGCCGUGCCUGGAAGGAGAAAAGGCGAGGAAAGUAAUGGAGGAAAUACAUUCCGGCUCAUGCGGCAACCAUUCCGGCGGAAGAUCACUAGCCGUGAAAAUCAAACGCCACGGAUAAUAUUGGCCAACAAUGAUCGGAGAUUGCGAGAAAUUCGCACGAAAAUGCGAAAAAUGCCAACGGCAUGCGCCAACUAUCCGACAACCGGCCGAAGUUCUUUCCUCCAUCACAUCGCCUUAUCCCUUUAUGCGCUGGGCCAUGGAUAUUGUCGGACCUCUGCAUAAUUCAAAGCAAAAGCGCUUCCUUCUAGUCCUUACCGAUUUUUUCUCAAAAUGGGUAGAGGCGGACUCGUACGCAAGUAUAAAAGACGUCCAAGUCGAGAAUUUCGUAUGGAGAAACAUCAUCUGUAGGCAUGGAGUUCCUUACGAAAUCGUAACCGAUAACGGGUCUCAAUUCAUUUCCACCCGAUUCGAGACAUUCUGCGGAAAGUGGAAGAUACGACUCAACAAGUCAACUCCCAGAAAUCCGCAGUGCAACGGACAGGCUGAAACAAUCAACAAGACCAUUCUCGACGGACUGAAGAAACGCUUGGAGGCCAAAAAAGGUAGAUGGGCCGAUGAACUCGAGGGAGUCCUCUGGUCUCACCGUACCACCCCAAGGCGAGCAACGGGAGAAACUCCCUUCGCCCUGGUAUACGGCACGGAGUGCAUGAUUCCCGCAGAAGUAGAAUUUCCCGGUGUUCGAAGAAGGUUCUUACCUGAACGAGAGGAACUCAACAAUGCUAUGCUCUUGGACGACCUCGACCUCAUUAACGAACGCCGGGAUCGAGCGCUCAUCCGAAUUCAAAACUACCAGCACGCCGCUGCGAGAUACUAUAAUUCCAACGUACGGAAUCGUAGGUUCAAUCAGGGACAUCUGGUUCUUCGCAAAGUCUUCCAAAACACCGCUGAACGAAACGCGGGAAAACUCGGAGCAAACUGGGAAGGUCCCUAUAAAAUCGAAAAAGUCGUCCGCCCAGGUUCUUACGAAAUAGCCAACAUGCAGGGCAUAAAAAUCCCUAGAACCUGGAAUGCGAUGCAUCUCAAAAAAUACUAUCACUAAACAAACCAACUCGCAAUCACUGAACUACGAGACGGCUUGAUCUCCGCAAGGAUUACGUAGGCAGUUUGCCGAAAGGCAAAUUCAGCUGUGCCCCCUCAUUAAAAAAGGGGGGGGAGUGGGUACGUAUACUCGUAUACUCCCAAAACCCAGCGCACUGGUCUCUAACAUCUCAAAGGCAUGAUAUCGAAAGAUAGGAGAUUCUUAAACCACGCCUCUAUGUUUACGUUCGAUACCUUCAGCACCCCCGCAGAGUUCACAUCUCGCGGAAGAACUCUCGAAACAGGUCUCGAAUAAAACAUUUCACAAUCGAAGAAGGAUAUGAGACGACAACUCAUCACCUUCCUCCCCACUAUUCACAAAUUCAUAAAAAGCGUUAUCCGAUUAUCAUACCAUAAAAAGAAAGCCGCGGAGCGGCAGGGAUUCAAAGCCACACACGGCCAGUCCCAAAAUACAAACAAGGCCAUUCAAGGCCGAAACAUAAAAACAUAAAAAAAAUUUCUCGCAAGAGAUCUAACCAAAGUCACCCUCAGAACUUACGCCCCCUCUUCACCCGCUGCCUCGUCCGAGCCUGGAGCCGCGUCACUUCCGUUCUCUCCGACCAUCGGGUCUUUCCACUCUGGGUCUUCUGAACAUGUCGGAAGGAAGCACGCGGAUUUCAGGUCGGCCAGGAUAAGAUCGAAAUCUCCAUCCUCGGCCGCCAUAUCUCCCUUGCAGUCGGACAACCGGGCCUCUUCGGCCUCCAAGGUCGGGGGAGUCUCACUUUGGAAUGACCGAACUACGGCCAUCCCGCCCUCAAUCGUCGCCAAAGCGAAAUCCCUGCUCCGGAUACACUCGAGGGAACCCAAGGAAGCAGAAAUCUUCGCCAAGCGAGCUUGAAACUCCGUGCGAAGGGCAUCCGUAGCCUCUUGAAUCCCGCGGCGCGCUAGUCCAGCAUCACUCUUGAUCUGACGCUGGAGUCGACGCACCUCCGAGGAUUUGGCCUUCCUGGCCUUCUUUUCCUUAAGCAAGGAACUCGCCGUCUUCCCAAGGUCCCUCUCAAGCUCUCCUAUCGCAACCUCGAGCUUCGACACUUUCGCAGAGUGAGAGUCCUCGACAGCCGUCAACAUAGCCUCGGUUUCGAACCAUCUGCCCUGAAGGUCCACCAACUCCCCGGAAAGGCGACUGGUCUCAGAACCACAUUCGCUGAUCAUCCCAUCGAUCAACGAUAUGAACUGCGAACGGUAAAAUCUGGUUAGACUAAGUCCUUGAAAAGAAUGCACGAAAGACGAUCAAGAAUUCAAACAAGAAACAAACCUUUCCGCGAAGUCCCGAGUUUAGGCUCGACCCACCUCGCUGCGAAGUCUCCCCGUCACCGCUCUUGGCAAGUUUCCUCCUCCGACUCUUAGGCUGAGUAGCCAGGACAGCGCUAGGAGCACGCAAUGCCAGAACGAUUUCUUUUCUGGCUGGAGGCGGAGGCAUAGAGUCAGCGGCUUUCUCUUUGUCCUCGACGAGGAUCGGAGUCGUGGAAGAUCCCGCAGGUAGGACUUGCGGGAGAGGAGCCGCGACGUCGGUCCCAUGACACGGGGCAACGACCUGCACGGAAGAAGACGGAAACUCGGAGCCAGUUUGAGCUAGUUCUUUCUCGGCUUGACGACGAUCUAGUUUCUCUCGGAAAGAAAGAUGACCGGCAACACAAGCCGGCACUUCCGCCGGAGAAGUUGGAAUCGGAGCCGGAGAAGUGGCCUCACCCAUCUCGACGUCGGAAUCUUUCUUAUCACCUUGGGAGGAAGACAUGUUGAGAGAAAAGUUAUGAAACUAGAGAGUUUUUUGAAGGAAUGAAGGAGGGAAGGUGUGAAGAAAAUGAAUGACAAGAGCUCACUACUUAUAGAAGUAUGGGUUCGGAAUGUCGUCUCGACAACUUUUUUCCGCGGAAUUUUAAAUGUAAAUUUUUUCCAAUACACUUAACCUUGUCAAAGUCAUCUAUCCGCCCGCUAGAGUCACAACUCUAACGGGCUGGGGGGCUAACUGUUGGGGUCAAAAACGGUUACGACAAAUUUAACAUUCAAAACGUCCGAGGAGGAAAAUAAGAAUUUCUCCGAAGAGUAUUUUUCGAAAUAGACUCUUUCUUACGAAAAAGCUUUACGGAAGAAAGAAUCGAGAUGUCCGACGAAAAGCUCGAAACAGGUCGCUACGUAGCGACCGAGCGAUCUUCCCGCUCGGUCGCUACGUAGCGACCAAGCUCAGCCAAGCUCGGUCGCUACGUAGCGACCGAGCGAUCGUCCCGCUCGGUCGCUACGUAGCGACCGAGCUUGAGCCAAUCCACGCCCCAAGCCUCUUGGACUUAGCCCACGGCCUUGCCCAAAGACCCAACAGCCCAUGGCCUCAUGGCCGGACCUCACAGCCCGCCACUGACCCGGACCCGGACCAUCGGCCUAAAACCCGAACAGUCCGUCUAGCUGAGAUGAGCUGACUCCCAGCUGCCUCAGCUGAGUGAGCUAGUAGUCCAGCUAGUGUAGCUGACUUAGUAGUGUCUGAGCUGGAGUGAACUCAACGUAGCUUCGUUAAGCUGGUCGAGCUACUUCUCUAUCUCGUCCAGCUACCGUCUUACUCGUCUUAGCUGUCUCUUUUCUCUUAUAAGGUUAAGUUAAAGAUUCCUUAUGUCCUCGAACCAUGGCCGUCCCGACAAUCCUUUCCAGGAUUGGGGGCGUGACAGUUCCUAGGCAUCAAAAACGAGGUGAUGUCAAUCCUUUUGGUAGAAAUGAAAGAACCAAUGAUGGCUUGAGUGGUUUGAAAUUGAAAAUUCCAAGUUUUGAUGGCAAAAAUGAUCCGGAUGCUUUUCUUGAAUGGGAAAGAAAAAUUAAACUUGUGUUUGAUUGUCAAAAUUUUUCUGAUAUUAAAAAGGUUAGACUUGCUGCUGCUGAGUUAACUGGCCAUGCUAUUAACUGGUAUGAUCGAGUUGUGACUAGCAGGAGGAGAGCAGGUGAGGCGCCAGUUGAUACAUGGGAUGAGCUUUCCAUGCUGAUGCAAAGACGCUUUGUUCCCCACCAUUACCACUGUGGGAACCGAAAUUCACACUCUCGAUUUCCGUUUAAAUAAGGAAACUAAGAAAACCCUAGUUUUCCAGAGAACCCGGAUAUCUGUUAAUUACCACACGUCAAGCAAUCAGAACAUGAGAAUAACAACGAUAAAAAUAAGAAAUCGAAAAGAGAGCAAAGUAGAUCUUAUUCCGAAUCUGCGUAUGAGCGUUACAACAAGGUAUAAGCCUGGGCUCGAGAGCUGUCAGCGAGAUUCCUAGUUCUAGCAACCCUAAGACGGCUAAACCUAAUUGAGUCGCAGCUCGAAAUAAAAAAAAUGGAAAAUUGCCUAAAUUGCUCUAAGUGCUAAGUUUUCUCUGAAAAAGUUCUCCCCUCUGCUCCUCGCCUAGGACUCCUUAUAUACUAGCUCCAAGGUCGGUUUACGCUUUUACUCUUCUGCCCUUAAGCCGUCAUAGCAUAAAAAUGGAGAUAUUCCAUUUUUCCCGAUCUUCAUAAUUAUCUUCAAAACUUCCGUAUUUAUCCGCGGAAACUUGACAUUUAUCCUUCCUUGUGGGCCAAGCGUAAACCAUGCUGUGGUUUACGGGCUUUUGGUUAGGAAAAUCGUAGGAUGGGCUUCGAAUCGUGUUUUAGGUCCCUUUGGGCCGUCUUUCGACUCGACACGUUUACUUCGAGUUUUCUGCGGUUUCUAAUCCGCGAAGUUUGAUCGAUGAAUUAGAAUAGCGGGAAACAUGGACUGAGCUUGCUACGGUCUUCGGGAGAUAGCAUUCGAAGGUUUGACGAGAAUGCAUGGACUGGUGUCGUAUCGAUGUUCGGAAAGGUUUAAUCGCUACACAGCGACCGAACUUUGGCUCGAGCCCGGUCGCUACGUAGCGACCGAGUGAGACGAGUGCUCGGUCGCUACGUAGCGACCGAGCUUUGGCUUGAGUGCUUUGGUCGCUACGUAGCGACCGGUCUAGCCAUGGGCGUUUGGAUUGUGUCCCAUUCUUCUUAUUCUUUUCAUCCAAUUCUUCUUCUACUCCUUCUGUACAUUGGCGUGGCCUUGUGGAUAUGUUGGGAUUGGUUUUAACCGUGGUUCUGGUUGAGUAAUGCGGUCGCGGUCCAUAACCGUCGAGUUAGGCGCGCGCAUGGUCUAAACUGGCCUCAGAUGAUCCGAUUGAAUAGAGGCGGUUCUGUUCUGUUCUGGACGGUUGCAACCCUUACCUGAACAGUCACAAUGGUUCAUGACUUAUGUAGGUUAAGGCGUGGUCCUUUGGCCAUAGGCCGGACACACGUACGGACCAGACAGUCCAUAAGGACAGUUAGGUCGAACGGUUGGAACAUCUGAAUGGGUGCGAGUUGCCAAGGGUCAUGAGUUGCCAAGAGGCACAGUCCGCGGCUGAAUGGUUGGAACAUCCAAACGGUGCCAUUGGUUCAAGGCUUAGGCCGAACCAAGUGGACAGUCCGCGGCUGCAUAGUCGAACGGACGGACGGUUAGUUUAACCAGAGUGUUUUAUCGCAAGGUCUGAUUGGUUGCAAGGCAAUCCGGUUUGGUCUUGGGCCUUACUCUGUGGUAUGGAUCCAGGCUUUGGGUCGGAUCAGGUAAGAAGGUCCGUGAGACUUUGGGCCAGACUUAUAACUGGUCGAUCGCACCUAGAUCUUAACCAGACGGUUAGACGGGACUAUGGAUGAUCCAGCUAUGGUUGGAUGGUUCUGGCCGCAAAGGCUAAGUGGGAUAUCUUACAAUCAACUUUGGGUUGGUGAGUAGGAUAGGCGCCAUAUGUCUUAUGUAGGGAGUAGACCUACAUGAUGGCAAUGGAAGGCCGGUUCUAUCAGUACAUGCGAAGUGGAUGAUGGCUUAUCAAGUCUAGUGGUCGGAUCAUGUUUCAUGACGAUGGUUCGAUGGCCGAACACUAGUAUGGAUAGUCACGUUGCUGGAGCAAGAGUAUUGAUGUGAUGCUUCUAUAUAUCAACCUUGGUGUUGAUAGCUUCGAGUUUGGCUAAGAGUCAUGACGAAGCCUAUGGCUAGUACUAUGUUUCGUAGACCAUAAGUAUUGAGCCUAAGUAUGGUUGUUCAAGGAAAGCCGUGUAAGAUCUGAUCAUGGUUGAGUAUGGACGACCUGACCUCUGAAUGAUGGUUCAAGGUGUCGGAACUAAUCUGAUUAAGGAAUGCAUCGGUUGGUAUGAACAAAUCAUAUAUGUUGUCUGGGUUAAGUCCCAAGGCCGGUCAAGCCAGAUGAUGACUCAUCAGUUCCAAGUCAUGUGAGGAUGGUUGGUUGAUUGACUUAGGAUCUAAUGAGCUUUGUCAUUCCAGAAGAUGGACUUGGUACUAUUUCCUAUAAGGCAAAAGGAUUUCGGAUUGUGCAUGAGCCGAGAAAGGCCAGAUGCAAACCCUUAUCCUUUCAAAGACUUCUCAAAGGUUACUUAUGUCUGUGGGGAUGGUUGGUUGAAUGACUAAAUACCUACGGGAGUUGUUUGAUGCAGGAGUCACGACAAGGACCUUAAGUAAGAUCAUGGAGUGAUCGUGGUCCAGCUGUCAAGCAAGAGCAAUUCGAGUCAAUGGAGGACCGAUGAGCUAAUAAGCUCCAUAGAUGUGGCAAAGGUAUGAUCUAGCAUUUACUUAUGUAGAUCUAGAUAGAAUGGUUUAGGGGAAUGAAACCUCAGAAUCGUAUGACUUGGUUUGGGUUUAGGAUUGACCUUUAAGCUAAUUGGUAGUUGAGUAAACUGACCAAGGCUAAGGUGAUUCGACCAGACAAGUGUUAGAUUGGUUUUAGACCAAUGGUUAAUUAGAAAAUAAUCCGCUGCGUAUCUGUUGAAAGGAUCUAAGCUAUUAAUGACUAGGGAAGUCUUUAGCUAAGGUUUAAGUUAGCCCUCGCCUGUGGGCGAUAUUAUAAAUAAAGGGUAAAAAUUAAGAGGUACGGCCAGGAAGUGGACCGAGCGACGUGAGGCAUCCACCGCGGCCUAGGCGGUCGGGAUCGGGUCUUACAGGAACUCUCCUUGGACGGUUGAUGGAUCGAUCAUUAUCAUAAGACUCUUCUCGGAUUUCUAGGUCGGACCGGCUGUUCCUCCUUGGAUGGUCACGUCUGGUUCUGGUUCGUGACUGAGUUGGACGGCCCUGAAGUUCAUCAAGCCUCUGAUGGAUCGCCUCCAAACCUGUAUUCAACACGUUAGACAUAGAAUCAUUGAGAGCACGCAUUUGCAAGUUAGAUAAUCCGGCAUAUGAAUUUCCGGGUCGGUUUCUUUCUUCUUCACUAUCCAUGGUUACCUGAAAACUUAAACAAGGUAAAGUUAGAUUAAAAACCUCACACACUCAGGUGUUUAUCCUCACCCACACACGUGUUUCACUCAAUUUUUAUUGGUAAUCACACAAGAGAGUUCCUCCCAAAGUUCUAAGAGAGCAAACUAGAUCACCCAAUGAGCAAAUCCAAGUGAACCAAAGAUCAAGAGAGAAAGAUAAGAGAUUUAGAGGGGAACCCGCCUUAACCACCUCAAAGACCGGAUUUCUCUUCGGCCAGCAGGCUUUCUCUUCCACCACCACACCACAAACAAAUCAAACUUUGGAAUAUCCUUUUUUUUUAUACUUUUUUUUUAUAUAGAUCUUUCUCUUUUUUUUAUAUAUAUGGGGGUAAUGAGGGGCCCGGGUUCAAGAUAGAGAGAUAAGAAAUUUUAAUGAAGAAUAUGGAAGAUGAAAUGAAAUGGAUUGAAAAAGAGUUACCGAGAGAGUGGCUCUGAUACCACUUGAUAGAACCAAAAUAAGGAUCACUCUUUCGGUAAGGUUGAUAUGAACUCAGAUCCGAGAGGAUUGAGAACUGAUGGAUCGAGGGGUGACACUAAGGGUUGCGGAAUAGCCCAAAGAUACUACCAUAGAUUCGAUGGUUGCCGGAUGUGACGCACCGGUCCAACACAACGAAGUGGUUCGCUUGGAGAUGACCUCACCAAUAGAAGUAUGAAUGUUCUAAGCAAAGAACAAUGAGAGAAGACUCAAAAGAAGCAAAGGAAAAUCGAUGUGAAUUUAUUAAGGGGGGUCAUCACAUACUUAUAAGGUUUGUGAGUCAAAGAAACAUAAAGACAUUUGUGGGAAAAGACAACAUAGAAGAUAGAAAUGAAUGAAAACAAGACAUAGAAACUAGAAAUGAAGACUUUGACUAAAGACUGGUCAAGGUGCGGAUUCUUGUGUUGACUGGUCCAGAUUCACAAAGAUGUCCAGGUUCAUUCUGUGGUGAUCAGGUCGUCCGCGGUAAGGAGCAGGAUGGAUGUAAGGCUGCCCGCAUGGUUGAUCGUCGAUGAUCCAUGAACGGAUGAAGAGAUAGCUCGACCCAAAUCUUCAGAGAGCUUAAGUAUCCUUCCUUUGCAGUAGUUGGAAGCAUCGAUCAUCAUGAAAUCAUCAAAGUGGUUGGAAAGGUUGUGAUCAGCCUGAUCCGGGCGUGCGGUACGUCCCAAACGGGCCAGGAAAGAUAGGCUAAGUCCGAAAUCUGAUUCUUCUCGAUGAUCAUGGGUUCUGGCUUGACUGUUGGCUCUAGAAUGGCGAAUGGAUCGGGGAAGAACGCCUGUGGUUUGGCUGAUUCGGUCAUCAGGUCGUGGAUCCAUCCUUAGGUCACGUCCGGGUGCACGCGGGUCGAUCCGGUACACGGCUCUGUCCGUUGAUCUGGUACGGAUGAAUGGCUGAACCUCAGUUGGACUGAUCUGAUCAUCCUGGUCACCAUGCUGAGUCUGCUCCACGUCCUGGUCUAGGUCCUGGGUUCUAUCAUUCCCUCCCUCUUCAAAAGGAUUUGACCACAAAUCCGGAUCACCUGGGUUCUAUCACGUGGGCUGUGUAUUCAGUACACACAGGACGUCCCUGGGUCUCCGCCAGCACACACAGGACGCCGUGGCUGUCUGUGUGUGUCCGUCAGCACACAC